rfam:Gossypium hirsutum cultivar TM-1 unplaced genomic scaffold scaffold2844.1, whole genome shotgun sequence
GUGGGUGUGCCGGAAUGGUUAUCGGGCAUGACUAGAAAUCAUGUGGGCUUUGCUCGCUCAGGUUCAAAUCCUGUCGCUCACC